UACGUAGGGUCCAAGCGUUUGUCCGGAAUUAUUGGGCGUAAAGAGCUCGUAGGCGGUGUGUCGCGUCGGAUGUGAAAGCCCGGGGCUUAACCCCGGGUCUGCAUUCGGUACGGGCAUGCUGGAGUUCGGUAGGGGAGACUGGAAUUCCUGGUGUAGCGGUGAAAUGCGCAGAUAUCAGGAGGAACACCGAUGGCGGAAGGCAGGU
rnacentral:rRNA from 1 species